rnacentral:rRNA from 1 species
GCUCACGUAGGGGGACUGACGAGCAUGCCGCGUGAGUGAGAGGUCUUCGGAUCGUAAGCUCUGUUGUAAGUGAAGAACGGAUCAUAGAGGAAAUGCUAUGGGAGUGACGGUAGCUUACCAGAAAGCCACGGCUAACUACGUGCCAGCAGCCGCGGUAAUACGUAGGUGGCAAGCGUUAUCCGGAAUCAUUGGGCGUAAAGGGUGCGUAGGUGGCGUACUAAGUCUGUAGUAAAAGGCAAUGGCUCAACCAUUGUAAGCUAUGGAAACUGGUAUGCUGGAGUGCAGAAGAGGGCGAUGGAAUUCCAUGUGUAGCGGUAAAAUGCGUAGAUAUAUGGAGGAACACCAGUGGCGAAGGCGGUCGCCUGGUCUGUAACUGACACUGAGGCACGAAAGCGUGGGGAGCAAAUAGGAUUAGAUACCCUAGUAGUCCACGCCGUAAACGAUGAGAACUAAGUGUUGGAGGAAUUCAGUGCUGCAGUUAACGCAAUAAGUUCUCCGCCUGGGGAGUAUGCACGCAAGU